GAUCCGUUUUGUUGAAGGGGGCAGGGGAGAUCCUCCUGACUCUUUUGUAACGAGUUCAUCUUUGGUGAACUUUGACACACAAACACACUCAGCUGACCAACAACAAACGGCUCCAACAUGGCUGACCUGAGAGAGAGAGAGAGAGACAGAGAGCUGACUGGAGUGGACUACACUAACCAGAUUCACCCCGUAGUGAUCGGUCAGGAAGUGAGGAGGACGGUGAACACGUUUCUUACUCAAAAAGUCAGAGACAGCUGAUAAACGAACAGAAACUCUGGUGUAAAAUAAUGAAGCUAACACAGAAGUACAUGUGAAAAACUGCAGUUCCUCUUGUGUCCACUUGGGGCUGGGUUCAGAGGCCCAGGAGUCCCCACUGGACCUCAUGUUACACUUCAAAUUUUUGAUGCUAAUGUUUACAACGGGGCGGCACAGUGGUGUAGUGGUUAGCACUGUCGCCUCACAGCAAGAAGGUCCUGGGUUUGAUUCCGGCUCAGGGCAUUUCCGUGUGGAGUUUGCAUGUUCUCCCUGUGUCUGUGUGGGUUUACUCCGGGUACUCCUGUUUCCUCCCACAUCCCAAAAACAUGCCUAAGUGGGGUUAGUUAACUGGCCACUUUCAAAUUGCCCGUAGGUGUGAAUGUGAGCGUGGAUGCUUGUGCGUCUCUAUAUGUCAGCACUGCGAUGUCCCCUGCCUUCGCCCGAAGAUGCCGGGAUAGGCUCCAGUGACCCCACAACCCCUAGCGGGAUUAAGCGGUAGAAAAUGGAUGGAUGGAUGAAAGGAUGGAUAUUUACAACUUUGAAUAAACAAUAAGAUCUGGACCCUUGUUAUGUGGGGUUCAUUUGAGUCAGAUUAGAGCAUUCAUGGUUAAAAUAAAAACUACUUCCUUUUUUAUAGCAAACAUCAACACGGUCAAUGGUUUGAGCAGCUUUCCAUCCUCAAUUUGCACAUAACACACUGUGCAAAUUCAAAGUUGAUUGGGUAAAACCCUAAGAACAAGUCAGAGUUCAAAGUUAUUGAUAGAGGAUUCCUAUUGUUCCAUUAUAACAUGUAAAUUUUGCGAAUGCGAACCCAAACACAAGAGCCAGUGGCAGUUUAUUUGAUUAAAUCAUUGCGUUGAACUGCCUCCAUCAGUUUCUUUUCACUAUUAUUUAACCCCAGUUCACCUUUGAUUAGUUUUUGACUCUCUGAUUGCAAGUUCAUCCUAAAUGAGGUGAAAAAAGGUUAAUCAUUGAAGCGUAGUAAAAGCUUCAGUACCUUUUCUAUUAAAUCAGGUUUAUUGGUCGUAACUCUGCGUGUAAACAGUGAGGUUAAUUGUCUAUUCUGAAAAAAAACACAGAGUCAACAGAGUCUGUCGCAUCUUUACACAUGUGUUUCAUCAUAAAACAAACUGUCCUGUUUGUUGCGCUACCAUGACAACAUUCACGUCAUGUAAGACCGCAAGCCUUUGAACAUCGCUCAACCUCUUAAGUAAUGUGGUAAAGGUAAAGGUGCGCGUGACAGCGAAACAUAAUUGGGGACAUUGUUUGCCCUGACAUGUCUGAGAUGUCCUUUUAAUCCAGAGAUGUGUGAUGUCCUGUGAUGACCUACUUACCUCCUCGAAGAUCACACCUUCACCUGAGGGGUCGGGGAUUUCUCGACAGGUGUUCAGAUUAUAUAAUCUGUUUCCCUGUUAGUGAAUGUCUUGAGGUGCAUAUUUUUGGUUUUUGUUCCUCCAUAACAGCUGAGAAUGAAAACUGGUUCAGCAUUUACAGAGUGGAAUUUUUAGUACUUUUUAUAUCGUUGAGUUCAGGACUUACAAAAAGGAUCCAAAGGUACAAACAGAGGAGGUGAGAGGAGUUUGUGUUGUGGACAUUUUUGUACUCAGAGGCCUCUUUUUUUUUUGGAUUCAUGACAUUCCAGCGGCGUGAAGUUUGUGGUGUGAGGAAAUCGUAAACAAAGCAGGUCCAGCAGCAUAAUUUACCUGUUUGUGUCAGUAUCUGCAGGAUCAGUGUCUCAUGCCGAUGCUGUUUUCAUUUCCUCUGCAUGUGCCUUUGAUAGUCGUUAUCCUGAUACUAUCUCCAAGAGAGCUGAUGAAUAGUUGUUCUGGACUUUGAAGAAGUUUCUACCAGCUGCACAGCCAGAUCACAACCUGAUAUUAACCGACCAACCAAUCAACAACUGAUGAUGUUUAGAAAGUGCUGGAAACUGCAGUACCUCAAGUGUCCACUUGGGGCUACCUGCAAAACCCAAGGAAGUCUGACUGACACUCGUGUUUUUCACAGCAAAAUGAAACAUGUUUUCAGAUUUGGUCAUAAUUUUUCAUAAAACUCUUUUUUUUUUUAAGCGUUCUAGUUUUACGCAUAGACUGGUUAUAGAACUGACGCGGUGGUUUGUGCUCAAGUCCUCUUUUUUCUGUACAGCUCCAUUUUUAAAAGUUAUUAGUGGGUUCAUGUUUUCUCUGUUUGAGCCGAGCGUCAUCACAGCGACUCUCCCACCGAAUGCGUCCAACGCAACUGCACAUGUGGUGGUCCCAGGAGGUGGAGAAAAUCAUGGAAAUACUGAGAGCAAUUCGGCUUCAAAUUCAUAUAAUGAUGGAAGGUGGAGCCAAGUUGUCCAUAGUAUAAACAGUCUAUGGUGUAACAUAAUUAGGGAUGUAGCUGAUUCCACAGCUUCAACAUUUCACCUCUUGUUAAGUUGAGUGAAAGCGACGAUGAAUCAGCAUUUUAAAAAUGGCGACUUCCAUCUUCAACCUCAGAACUUAAGAAAUCAUUAGAUGACAACCACAGAUGACACAUCUACAUCAUACAGUCUAUGGUAUCACCUCAAUCACUCUGUCUGCCACCUCCUUAUCUUUUUAACAUGACAGCACUUCACUUCAAAGAUUUUUUCCGUGAUUUUUCGUUUAAUUAUUCCCUCAAGAACUUCCUGCAUGAAUCAGCUGAAGCCUAUUGGUCCAGAGCGCCACACCUCAGAGUGACGAGGCUGAUAACAAUGAUCCCUGGUACAACACCGGAGUCUAAUGUCCUCAUAUUUCAUUGAUGCGGGGGUGUGAUAAGGACAGACUGUACACUUAAAACCAGUUCAGGUCACCGCAACAAUGCAGGAACAAUGUGAGAAAUGUUUCUAAGAACUGAACCGUCCAGUAACAUGAGUAAGCACAGAAGAGAACACACAGCGCUCUGUUUCAUCCACAUCUUGGUGACGCAUUUUGAUUCAGCAAUUCUCUCUGUUCUUCUUUAAACUCCUGAUAUAUAGAAACACUUUAUCCCUGACAGGUAAACAUAGAAGUCUCUUUGCAACUUUUUAAUCAGAUACGUUUGUGUUUUUAAACGCCUCAGUUUUCUGAAUCCUCAGUGUGAAGCUCUUUUUUUCACUGAAGAGGAAAUAUGACCUUAAAUGAGUUAAAAAGAGGCUAUUAAAUCAUAAAAAACAGAUAAGGUUGAUCAUAAAAUGUCAUGUACAGUUAUGACUCCAGUCUGAAUCAUGAAGUCUUGUACGUGUGUAAACUCGGUGAUCUUGGGUUAUAUUGUGCUGCAGUAGGAGGGAGUCGGCGUUUGUCCUUAAAGUCAUGUAUUGUAGUAAUAUAAUGUUGUGAUCAUCAGUCUUUAUUGGGAUUGUUUUUUGCACAGGCAGAAAGCUCAGACAGUCCUUGUUGAUUGUUGUGAACCAGAGUGAGUCUACGUGCGAGCCGCAGCCUCUCUUAUCUCUCAGAACAUAGAUGAGAACAGUUGGUGAUAAACAUCAGAGUGUGAUCUCUUAUUUAAGUCUUGAUUUAUAAACCUUGAACUGCGAUCCCAGUAUCUAAAGAGUCAUAUUCUUGUCAACAAAGUCUGCAGGAUUCACCCUGGAAAACACAAAUAAAUCACUGUCAGGGCCUUUUGUGGUUUUCCCUCAGGCUCUAGUCUUUACCUCACAGGUACAGUGUGUAGAAAUGAAAGUAUUCAGUAAUAUCGAGCGAUCAGGCUCGAAAAGGACGGUGGCCUUUAAGGACAAGAAGCUCCUGGGAUGCAUGUUGAAUAUGUGCUGUGUCAGUUCUAUUGUUAGCGACCUAUGCUAGAUAGAGGCUGCCGUCAGUGUUGACAACUCCUCAGUAAGGAAAGUUGCUAGAUGACAUACCGUAGUUGCCUAAUUUGCAUAAUUUUUCAGUCAACCCCCCACCCACCCUGUGUAUCUGUAUAUGUGUGUGUGUGUGUGUGUGUGUUUGAUGUACAUGCACUACCUGUUUAGAAGAGUACCGUAUGUUUUGCACUGUAAGGCGCACCUGAUUAUAAGGCGCAUUAAACCAAACAAAACAGUCCGAUAAGUCAAACUGUAUUUCACUCAUUCAACAACUCCGCGAGGCUGUAGUGAUUUUAAGUGUGCCUCAUAGUGCGAAAAAUACGGUAACUUGGAUACCUCCUUUUGUGUCAGAGUUUCCAAACUCCAAAUCUAGGGACUCAAAAUAGUCGCUUGAUUUGCCGCUCGGCGCUUUUUUGAAAAUAAGUCACUAGGGGUGUCUGAAAAGUCGCUAAAUCGAAGUUGCCAAGUUGGCAACACUAGCUGCUGUCUUUGUUGUGGCCUAUGAACCAAUCAGAGGCUUCAUUUGAGACCAGCUGACCUGUAGACGCCAGUUGUCGCAGAAAAUCUGUAAAGGCCUAAUUAUUCCUCACAGAUAUUUAAGGGGAUCGAUAGAGAAUUCAAAAGCGACAGUUUAUAAGUGUUCAUCAGAUUUCUAUAACUUUGAAGAUGUUUAAUCUGAAACGCAGCAGAUUGUCAGUAAAACAGAAUUAUCAGCGUUACAUUUUUAAUACAUAUGACCUUUAUUAACCUCUUUGUUUUUGUAUGAAUCUAUAGAAGCGACUUUCAGACUGUUGCUGAACUUUGCAGCUCACUCUCUCAUUUAUACCUCACCUGAGAAGUCCAAGGGCCUCUAAACCGCCCCUCAAAGACCUUUAACCUUUUACUGCCAAUCUAAUCAGCUGCUUACCUGUGCUCCAGUCAGGUUUAACCUUUGCCCCGUUUAAUACACCCUUUAAAUUCCAGUCUGUUCUCAUGUGAAGGAGUGGUUGCUUACUUUUGAAUCAGAACAUUUAAAUUGAUUGAGCAUGAGUUGGCAGCUCCUCCUCAUACAGAUGACUCUGCAUCAUCAUCAUCAGCCUGAUUGGACUUGAUUGUGAUUUUGUUUUGUGCUCCACAGCAGACUAAAUUAAAGCCACCACCUUAGAGACUCAGAGCAGAGGCAGCAGCGCUCCAGCUGACAGGUCCGGACCAGAUCUGAGGUCACAUUAGUUCAGGCAGAGUCUGACACGGAGGAAUGUUCCUGAUGUGGUUUGUUUGAUAUUUUCGCUCUGUGCCGGCUGCCAAAUGAAAACUGCUUUAGUGGGAACAUCACAAACACAGAGGGGAGGCAGGCAGCGAAGGACAGGAGCUAUGUUUCCUGUCAACAGAGGCGAUCACGUUGGGCACGUAAAACACACACACACGCGCGCGUGCACGCUCACACACACACACAAAGGGGAAGCAGGGGAGUAGAUACAUUCUUUACAGACAAAGCUCUUUUGUAGGGAAUCAAACAUGUCACUGGAAACAUUGUCACUCCCCCUGGUGGUCAAAAUAGAAAACCCCACAAACCGCUUAGAGGAAUUCCAUUAACGUAUUCACCCAUUUCACUGAAUGAGGAAGCAUCCCCCUUUAACAUCCGGUUUCUAGACCGGUGGCGUCGGUAAGAGGAAAUAAUACUGCAGUGAGAGGAGCACAGGGACAAGGACAGACACUGGAUAUUUUUGACCUUUUUAAAAAAGAAUAGAGACAGACAGAAAAGACAAGAGUCUGUGGGUUGUUGUCUUGGUUUCAACCCCAGGGACUCAAAUAUUUGAAUACAAGGGGAGAGCCCCAACACCUCCUGUCAAACAAGGAGAAAACCCCUCCACCGCCCCCAAACAAUGGGAAAUUUGACUUUCUCUACUAAAGCAUAAAUAGUCAUUACAAAAAUAUCACACUUUUGCACUCAGAUGUUCAGCGUCAUGUGACGUCUGAUCCGCACAGAUGUUGAAUGACUGCAUGUUUGCAAACUUACUGUUAUAAUUUUACCAAAAGUAAAAAAGCGUGCAGUGAUUUUCUCUCUGCAUCCGUCCAUGAUGGAGUUACUGACUGUUUCUUAGUGUAGAUGGUUUCUGCACACUUAUAGUAAGUCAUGACUGAGUGUAGAUGGAUGCAAACAAGCUUAGUUUGGAUUAGUUUAGUUUGUUUAUGGUUCAGUUAAUGUUAACUAAAUUUAGUUAAUCUCAGUUUAGUUUAAUCGAGUUCACUAUGGUUUGGAUUAUCUCAGCUAAAUUAAGUUAAAUUUAGUUUAAUUAAGUUUAGUUUAUCUGCAUAAAGUUUGCCAUUGACAAAUUAAGAUUAUUUUAUUUUAGUUUUGUUAAUCUCAGUUCAGUUUAGUGAGUUUAUUAUAGUUUAGUUUAUCUCAGUUAAGUCUAGUUAAGUUUAUUAAAGACUAUUUCAUCUUUGUUUAAUGAGUGUAGUUUAACUUGUUUAAAUUGAGUUUAUCUUAGCUAAUUAACUUCAUCUUAAUUUAGUUGAAUUGAGUUUAAUUAAGUUAAACUUGAGUAUUUCAGUUGAUCUUAGUUUAGUUAAUUUCAGGUUUGUUUAUCUUAAUUAAGAUUACUUGAGCUUAGUUUAAUUAGUCAUUAAUAAAUUGAGACUAGUUUUUUUGGUUUUGUUAAUCUCAGUUUAGUUCAGUUUAUCUCAGCUUAGUUUAGUUAAGUUUGGUUAUGAUAGGUUUACCAAAGCUUAUCUUAGUUCAGUUAACUCAUACUGUUAGCUGUACGUGUUACUUCUACUUUGUCUACUAGCUAACCUUUUCUUCUACAGAGUGUAAAACCUCUCUUCUCUGUUUCUGUCAGUUUCCUCCCAGUUUGAGCAGAAGUCAGUUUUUACUGAUUCUUAGUCACCAGUCAGUAUCAGGGUUUCUGACUGAUUCAGUCAUCCUCAGGCUGGUUUGAGACUGUAAAUGAAUGUUGAAGUGUGUAAACAGUUUGAAUUGGUCAGAAGGAGUCCUGCAGUUUAAAGGAGCAGUCUGCCUUUUUUUCUUUCGCUGAGAGCUGAGUGGGUGAUACCAGUUUCUGUGUGAGAAAGAUGACUCAGACUGAGAAAUAAGUCAUUUGUGUCUCUGGUUUUCCUCUCAUGCUGUGACAUGUUACUUUUGUUUUGACAAUUGCUUCAUUCUGUUGCUAUCCAAGUUUUCUUUUGUUGAAAAGACACUUCUAAUACUGGGUAAAUUUCAUCAAGUCUGCAGUUUUGCAGGAAGUGUCCUUUACCACAGGCCUUUUUUUUCAGGGUUGCCACGUCUGUCUGCGCUGGCUGUCAGACUGCGGUAACUCAGAGUGUGUUCAGGUCGUGUUUCAUCUCUUCCUGGUUGCUAAAACGACUGACUGGUUCUGUUUUAACAUUACUAAUUCGCAGUAAAGUUUACUUUCAGUUUUUAAUUUAGAUGCUUAAAUCUUGGGUUGAUAAAUCUGUCCAUGAAGCCCCCCUCUCUUCCUCUCUCAGUCUUACAGUUUUUUUCUGUUUCGAACCACUAAACUGGUUCCUGCUUUCCCCUCGCUGUGCGGUGAGUCAUUAACAAGAAACACCUACGCACAGACAGCAAAAAAAAACCACGCGCACAAACACACCUGCUGCCUUCUGCUGAAUUUCCAGAGGUCUAAAGGUCUUUGGAAAUCUGUAAAAGUUAUAAUAGACAAACCACAAACCAGCGAGAAUCAUUUUUAAUCAAAUUAUAAAUGAAGAGGAAGCUGACCUUCAGAGGGAACAACACACAUCCACACUAAAUCGUUUUAACCCAUGAAUGCUGUAAAACGAACAUUUUAAUGGUUUUAUGGACCAUAAAAGUCUGAAGGUGUCAUGUUUAUGAAAGUUACCGCACAGUUUGACGUUUUCACCUCUGAUCUCUCAAAUUAUUGUCCAAUUUCAGACACUUUUACAGCCAAAUAAAAAUGAACUGAUGCACACGGGGUCAUUUAAAGAAACAGCGCAGCCUAAAAAGUACAGUAUUUCAGAUCCGAAUGUGUGCAAACAUAAACUUGCAACACGCGGAUGCAGAAGAUGUUGCAUCAAGAGGAAAUUUAAGGGGAAAUUAAAGUUUAAAAGUUCAUCACCCCGACAAACACGUGCAGCAAACUAAAACAUGUCGAUCCUCAUUUUUAAAGCACAGAUUCGUAACUAAUGAUUUAUCCAUCAUAAACAAAACAUACGUGACAUUUAGAAAGUGACAGGUGCGAGGCAGAAACCUUGAGCAGAACCAAACUCUGCUGAGACUGAGCGGGGUUUGCAGCAAGAAAUGAAAAUUGUUCGGAUUUUAUGUUUUGAGUUUUUGCAGCAGAUGUAAGUUUUGUAGUAGGCUUGAAACUUCUUUUUUUAUAAAUAUAUUUUAAGAUUUUGUUUCUUUAUUCAGUGAGUAAAGGGCAACAGAUGGAGCAGGGAACUGGAGAGAGAGAGUCAGGAGUGAGGUACAGCAGGUUGGAUCGAACCUGGACCGCGUGUUUGACAGCAAUAGCCUCUGUAAACAUGGUGUGAAUCUUGGCCACUGAGCCAAACCACCGUCACUUUACUCUUAGUUCUCGUAAAAGAGUUUACAGACUCAGGUUUGGACCGGUCCUCAGUGAUGGUUCUGUCGGCUUUAGCCUGAUCUAUACUCCUGUGUUUAAUCGACUCCAGAGGAUGAACCUUGAUGUUCUUCUCCUCAAAAAUCUAUCUUUGCAUCAAACCUGUGAUUGGCUCAGAGAGUAACAUCGUAUUUUUUGCUUUUACAACAUCGACUAUGAUUCAGCAGCCGCACAAUGACAUCCACUCUGACGUUUUCUCGCCAUAAUCUUGACCGUUGAUCAACAUUUAUCUGCUCUUACUUCAACUUUGUGCUUUUGGGUUUGUCACCAUGAACAUGCAGAAACUCCGUAUUAGCAGAAUAGAACUUUAACUGUCAGGUAGGCCGAGAACUGAAGUAUGGCGAGGGCUAAGAUGGCGAAGGCUACAACAGCGUCGCUUCAAAGCAGACCGUCUGUGGUUGUUUUCGAUGUUGCUCUCUCAUGGUGCUUUAAGGUCAGAUCUGUAUAUUAUAUAAAAAAGAGGAUCCUCUUGACCUGUUUUUUUAAAAAGUGUGUUAGAUACGUGUUACUACCUCUUUUGAGGUCUCUACCAACACCCCACCCCAGAUCACAGACUCAGACAGUCGUACAGUUUCUCGAUCCUCGCCCUUUUACAGUUUUUAUUCAACAACAACUUGAUCAUAUUUACUCAUUACUGUGUCACAUCCUCUUUUUCUACUCUAAUUACUAAUGCAGAGUAAUUAUGAUGAGAUGUUUUAUUUUAUUCUUUUAAUUAAUUGAUAUUUUUGGAUAGUUUUUUUCUGCACAGCCUGUUUUACCUGCCUGGAGUUGCUCAGAUGUGGCAGUUAAUUGAUUUUUAUCUGCUAACUCUGCAUGAUUGGCUGCAGACUCAGAGCCCCACCCCAUUAAAAGAUCCCAAACCUCUUCUCCUAACAAAGGGCUGCAGCGAGAUAGACAUAAUAAGACUAGAUGUUUGAAAGUCCUGCUCUUAAACAAGGGAAAGUUUUAAAGAAGCGACAUAUUAUUUUUCCAAGGUGUUUUAUGUGCUGCAAAAAUUCCCCAUGAUCAUAUUUUAACGGUUUUAUUGACACUAUAUCUUGACUAGAAAGUGGUUCAAACAAUAAAAGUCCAGAGUGAUGUCUUGGGGUUGUCCGGAGAAACCAUGGUAGUGGUUCGGGAAUUUUCUCAGACUUGAUUUCUUUUCCUGAGCGGCACAACUUCUCUGUGUCCUUGCAUCAUGUGCAAAUGUUUUCAUGCAUGCUUUCUCCCCACUGUAACUUGAAACCCGUCUCCCUCUGUAUUUAAGACUCCUGUCAUUCACAUGCAAAUGCAGCAGGUGCAGCAGAUCCCAUCGGACCGUUUAACAGAAAUGCGCCGGCUUGCUAAAACGCAGGGAAAGCAAAAAUACAUAAAGCGCUUGUUUGACAAAUUGAAUGCUGUAAAAGUGUGAGAACUCAGGUGUUUACCUCUUCACACUCAGGUUGGAUGAUGUCUAAGCUGCGAAAAGAAAACAAAAGUAUGCCGAACACACCUUUGUUUGUUUUUGUUACUGUUAUCUCUUUGCUACAGAGGAGUGAAUAGAGAACAGUUCAGGUUUUUUGCUCACUUGAGAAGUAUGUGAGGCAUCUAUGGUACCCUGUCAAUCUCAGUUAGACACAUCUAUCUUCUUUAAACCAGUUCAAAAGUUAUGGCUCUGUUGACGUGCACCAGAACAGGCCUGAGCGUACCCCUCAGAAAUCAUUUAUAGAGCAGCACUUUUCACAAAAUGAUAUUUAUCCCCCCAAUAAUGAGCUCACUGUUGCUCAUAGCACAUCUUGUUUUUCUCAUGCAGCCCUUUGGCUCAUUUUUAGCCCGAGUGCCAAACACUGGAGGGCAUUGUACAGUCAAAACACAGGGUUGCCUGUUUGAAGGCAAUGAUUUCAUAAGAACUGCAGAGCUGCUGUUUACAGUGUCAGCGACCCUCUGCUGACAUCUAGUGGUAAAAAGAGGAAGAGUUAGUGCAGGUUCUGGUUAACAAAGCGUUUCAGUCAGACUGAGUCAGUAUUUCCACAAUGUAUUUCUCUAGAUAAUGUUACUUUUGGAAUGUUACUACCAAAUAAAAAUGAUGAACUCUGUUGUAAUGUAAUCUUUAAGUUAUGAGAUCAUCCCCCAGAUUUAUUGUUUUCAUAAACGAAUUUAAAAUGUAUUUGAAAUCUCUUAAAACCUUAAAACAGGUUUGAAGGAACAAACGUUUCAUGAUAACUUCAAGAAUUUUCCCACUGAGAUGAAAAAAUAAAAAUGUUUUAAAAAAGAAAGAAAGCCCUUGUAAAGUUUUGCCUGGCAUAUAUUAUUUUAUUUAUUUUAAGUUACUUUUAUGUUUCUGUUUGCUUGUUGUUCUUCACUAUCUACUUCAUAUAUUUUAUUAUUUUUAUUUUUAUUUCAAUUUUGAAAUUACUGUAUUGAACUGAUUCUGCUGUUUGUAAUUGUAAUUGUUAAUAAAUAAAUAAAUCAAGCUUAAAAAAAAAGUGAGACUGAUUUUAUUGAGUAUUGAAACUCCAUUAAUAUUCACCAAUUUACUUUACUACUACUACUACUACUACUACUACUAAUAAUAAUAAUAAUAAUAAUAAUAAUAAUAAUGGUGAUGAUUUAGAAUAAAAUGUAAAAACUAAUAUGUGACAGUGAGCUGUUAGUUGUGGACUUUUCCUGCAGGUUUCCAAACAUCAUAAUAAAAGACUACAGAGGAAGAAGAAACAGCUGAUGCUAACCAGCUUUGCUUGUGCUCUCUGAGAUGAUUCAGCACUUUUAAAAACUGACAUUCACAGGUUUUGGUUGGCUCCCGCCUCUUCUGGUUACCAAUAAAUGUAAUGUUUAUACUUUUUUCGGCAGCUUUUUUAUCUGUUUUAUUUUGAUAACAUUACUAAUGAGCUACAAGAGGUAAAUAACUUCAAAAUAAAAGCAUGGUUUUAAAGUUCUGGGAAUAAAGAAACUGAAAUGCAGGACAGAAAAAUAUAAGAAUUGGAAAAAGUGAGGAAUAAUUCAUUUGAAGCUCCUAUCAGAGACUUUCAGUUUGUAUGAAUUUUGGCGCCCCCUGUUGAUCUGAUAUCUUAUAAAUGUUAUGAGAGAUGAGUGAUGACAUACAGAUGCCAAUAUUUAUUUGACUGGAGGAUUAAAUUAAAAUCUUUAAUGAUGUAAAAGGUUUAAAAAAUUAAGCUUGUCGUGUUUAAUGCUUCAACGACAUGAGUUAACAGUGUGGAUGUUAAUUCAUGAGUAAGCUCAGGUGGUAAAAGAUGAGUGAGAGAAAUCUGAGUGGCAAAAAAGAAAGAAAAAUAUUAGGCUAAAGAAAACUUAUUAAACAGAUUAAAUGAUAAAUGAAGACUUGAAGGAAAUCAGGCCUUGAAAUAAACGAUUUAAAAACAGCUCAUAUUUAGCUCAUCUUUAAACAGCUGUUCAUGAACCAGUUUACAAAUAUAAGAGCAGAGCUACUCAGCUUUUUAAGAUGUGAUUUGUUGAAUUUGGUUGUGACUAAAACUAAAGCAUAGAAAAAUUACAAAUUUAUUUUUAGAGUGCUUUCUAAUAAAUGUUCUAGAGAGAAAAGACAGUUGAAAAAUAAGUGUAAAUAUAUCAGCAUUAAUCUAUUCUGCAGAGUGCAAUAAUACAGCAAAGGAGCUUCAGAAUUACAGGCUCCUUCACCGUGAGUUUCCAAGUGUAACUGAGAGUAAAUGUAAUGUUUCAAUGAGGGAACUUAAGAUACAUGUCAUAUAGUAAAAACUUGGAGUAAUUUAAUGUAAAUAGGAAACUUUAAGCCACUGAAACUAGUCAAAUAUGAUGUAAAUUCCAUUACAGUUAUAUAUCCUGCAACAAUACUUUCCCAAAUAACAAUGUUA